rnacentral:rRNA from 1 species
GGGCCCGCACAAGCGGUGGAGCAUGUGGUUUAAUUCGAUGAUACGCGAGGAACCUUACCAGGGCUUAAAUGUACGUUGCAUGAUUUAGAGAUAGAUCUUUCUUCGGACUACGUACAAGGUGCUGCAUGGUUGUCGUCAGCUCGUGCCGUGAGGUGUCAGGUUAAGUCCUAUAACGAGCGCAACCCCCUGUCGUUAGUUGCCAACGAGUAAUGUCGGGAACUCUAACGAAACUGCCGGUGCAAACCGUGAGGAAGGUGGGAUGACGUCAAAUCAUCACGGCCCUUACGUCCUGGGCUACACACGUGCUACAAUGGUCGGUACAGAGAGCAGCCACUACGCGAGUAGGAGCAAAUCUUCAAAGCCGAUCUC